rnacentral:rRNA from 1 species
UGGGGAAUAUUGCACAAUGGGGGAAACCCUGAUGCAGCGACGCCGCGUGAAGGAUGAAGUAUUUCGGUAUGUAAACUUCUAUCAGCAGGGAAGAAAAUGACGGUACCUGACUAAGAAGCCCCGGCUAACUACGUGCCAGCAGCCGCGGUAAUACGUAGGGGGCAAGCGUUAUCCGGAUUUACUGGGUGUAAAGGGAGCGUAGACGGCAGUGCAAGUCUGAAGUGAAAGCCCGGGGCUCAACCCCGGGACUGCUUUGGAAACUGUGCAGCUAGAGUGUCGGAGAGGCAAGCGGAAUUCCUAGUGUAGCGGUGAAAUGCGUAGAUAUUAGGAGGAACACCAGUGGCGAAGGCGGCUUGCUGGACGAUGACUGACGUUGAGGCUCGAAAGCGUGGGGAGCAAACAGGAUUAGAUACCC